AUAGGGGAGCCGUAGGGAAACCGAGUCUUAACUGGGCGAAUGAGUUGCAGGGUAUAGACCCGAAACCCGGUGAUCUAUCCAUGGGCAGGUUGAAGGUUGGGUAACACUAACUGGAGGACCGAACCGACUAAUGUUGAAAAAUUAGCGGAUGACUUGUGGAUGGGGGUGAAAGGCCAAUCAAACCGGGAGAUAGCUGGUUCUCCCCGAAAGCUAUUUAGGUAGCGCCUCGUGAACUCAUCUUCGGGGGUAGAGCACUGUUUCGACUAGGGGGUCAUCCCGACUUACCAACUCGAUGCAAACUGCGAAUACCGAAGAAUGUUAUCACGGGAGACACACGGCGGGUGCUAACGUCCGUCGUGAAGAGGGAAACAACCCAGACCGCCAGCUAAGGUCCCAAAGUCAUGGUUAAGUGGGAAACGAAGUGGGAAGGCUCAGACAGCCAGGAUGUUGGCUUAGAAGCAGCCAUCAUUUAAAGAAAGCGUAAUAGCUCACUGGUCGAGUCGGCCCGCGCGGAAGAUGUAACGGGGCUAAAC
rnacentral:rRNA from 1 species